UUGAUUCAGCAGUACAUAUGCUAAAUUUGGAAUAAUGUAGAGAAGAUUAGCAUGGACCCUGUGCAAAGAUGGCACACAAAUUCGUGAAGCGUUCCUUAUUGUC